rnacentral:miRNA from 14 species
GGCCUCAUGUAGGAACUCGAGGCAUGACUUGACUGGGCAUGGGAGCUGAAGAGUACAGGAAUCCUCGAAUAUUCUUCAAGCUACCCUGACUCUCUAGCAGGUCUGCAAGUCCGUGCCUGAGAACCG